AGAACACUCUCAUUACAGAAUGUGAUAGCCUCUUAUAGAAAUGUUAUGAACAAACGAUGGAAAAGAAGCCACAGAAUUUUAUUUAUUUUUUAUUUUUUACUUUUUAUUUUGCAGUUAUUUAUUUAUUUAUUUAUUUAUUUAUUUAUUUUUGAGAUGGAGUCUCGCUCUGUUGCCCAUGCUGGAGUGCAAUGGCACGAUCUUGGCUCACUGCAACCUCUGCCUCCCAGGUUCAAGUGAUUCUCCUGCCUCAGCCUCCUGAACAGCUGCGAUUACCGGCGCGCACCACCAUGCCCAGAGAUAUUAAGGCAGAGAGCAGUUAAAUAACUUGCCAAAAAUUCUCAACAGGGACAAGGUCUUGCUAUGUUGCCCGGCCUGGUCUCAAACUCCUGGGCUUAAGCAACCCUCCCCAGUCCUGCCACCAUAGCCUCCCAAAGCCCUGGGAUUACAGGUGUAAGCUGCAAGAACUUCUUGAAAGGCAAUUCAACAUAGUGUUUAAAAGCAUGCAGGAGUCCUGGGUUCAAAUCUCCAUUCCAGCUCUAUCCAGUACCCAAAAUUGUCAUUGUCAGGCCUCUGAGCCCAAGCUAAGCCAUCAUAUCCCCUGUGACCUGCACAUAUACAUCCAGAUGGCCUGAAGCAACUGAAGAUCCACAAAAGAAGUGAAAAUUGCCAGUUCCUGCCUUAACUGAUGACAUUCCAGCAUUGUGAUUUGUUCCUGCCCCACUCUAACUGAUCAAUUAACUUUGUGACAAUACACCCUCCCCACCCUUGAGAAGGCACUUUGUAAUAUCCUACCCCAACCCACUGCCCUUAAGAAGGUACUUUGUAAUAUUCUCCCCACCCUUGAGAAUGUACUUUGUAAGAUCCACCCGCUGCCCACAAAAAAAUUGCUCCUAACUCCACUGCCUAUCCCAAACCUAUAAGAACUAAUGAUAAUCCCACCACCCUUUGCUGACACUCUUUUUGGACUCCGGCUGCCUGCACCCAGGUGAUUAAAAAGCUUUAUUGCUCACACAAAGCCUGUUUGGUCGUCUCUUCACACGGACACACAUGACAUUUGGUGCCGAAGAGCUGGGACAGGAGGACUCCUUCAGGAGACCAGUUCCCUUGUCCUCGCCCUCACUCCAUGAGGAGAUCCACCUAUGACCUCGGGUCCUCAGACCAACCAGCCCAAGGAACAUCUCACCAAUUUCAAAUCAGCCAAAAUCCACAGUGAUCCACAUAAUACUCAGGAAUCACCCAGAAGGGAUUUCUAUCUGAAAGGAGAAAGAAGCUCUGGGGCAUGAAUAUACGUUGUCUUGUAAAAAAAUAAAUCAGUAAUUCAUGUGUGUAUAUUUUAUACUCAAUGGGAAAAAAUGUUUUAUUUAAAAAAACACUCAAUAUUUUACAUGACAUUGUGAAAAGGCAGCACGGAAUUACUCAUUUGCUUCCUUUUUUAAAGUUUUAGAUGAAAAAU
rnacentral:lncRNA from 1 species